GGAUGUGAGAGCCAUCUGGCUAUGACAUCUGCUACCCCAUUGAUCACCAAGGUUGACUGGGCUGAUCUGGCUGGCUAGGUGUAUGUUCCCUUCCUCCCUCACAGCUCCCUGUGCGUCCCUCCCGAAGCUGCACGCUCCAUUGAAGAGGACGACCAUCCUAGAUAGAGGAGGACCAGUCAUUUUUUUUGGGGG
rnacentral:snRNA from 1 species